GACGAACGCUGGCGGCGUGCUUAACACAUGCAAGUCGAACGGAAAGGCCCUGCUUUUGUGGGGUGCUCGAGUGGCGAACGGGUGAGUAACACGUGAGUAACCUGCCCUUGACUUUGGGAUAACUUCAGGAAACUGGGGCUAAUACCGGAUAGGAGCUCCUGCUGCAUGGUGGGGGUUGGAAAGCUUCGGCGGUUGGGGAUGGACUCGCGGCUUAUCAGCUUGUUGGUGGGGUAGUGGCUUACCAAGGCUUUGACGGGUAGCCGGCCUGAGAGGGUGACCGGCCACAUUGGGACUGAGAUACGGCCCAGACUCCUACGGGAGGCAGCAGCGGGGAAUAUUGCACAAUGGGCGGAAGCCUGAUGCAGCAACGCCGCGUGCGGGAUGACGGCCUUCGGGUUGUAAACCGCUUCCGCCUGUGACGAAGCGUGAGUGACGGUAAUGGGUAAAGAAGCACCGGCUAACUACGUG
rnacentral:rRNA from 1 species